UUAACUCCGGAGCCCCAAUUGAAUCCAGAGGGGUCAGUAACUUGUAAACCCUCUUCCCCAUUGAGGGUAUUAACAAUAAGAGGGCGAGAGAAAUGGAGGGUGGAGCACUUGGAGAGCAACUACUCCCCUCCUGUACUCACCAACCUCUGGACAAGUUGAACUCCACUGAGGUGGAUGGGGACUUGAUCCAGGUCCUCGACACAGGAUGUCCCACCGGCGUACCGCAGCCCACAAAGACCACCACUUCCAGCAGUCCACUAUCCCAGACGGCCGCAGCCCACAAUCUCUGGAGGGGGCCUCUUCUGUAUGCCGCGUGUCAGGGCUCCCGGCGCAUGGAAGGCAGCACUGCACCAGCACUGUCCGAACCGCAGGAGACUUCGGGAUGGUGAAGUUGGACACUGUUAGCCCAGCCCCCUGUGACACAAUCCUAUCAAUGAAGGCAUCGCAGAGGGGACGUACGAUCUGAAAAGAAUCCAGUCAUCCCACCCUAAUUCGGGGAAGUGUCUUGGUCAGAGGAUUCUACUGUUUCAGAUUUGUUUUUUUGAGUUUGCCAGACAUUGCUGGAGAGUGGGCAAGGAUGAUUUAAAGUGGAAUAUUAAAAAUGAACUUUAGGGUCACAUUUUCUUAUAGCUAAAAAGUUUUUGAGAAAGAAAAGGCUUCAAAACCAAUUUGAGGUUUUUCUUCCUGAUUCCACCGGCUGUUCCUUCCAAAAUGUCAUGUGUUAUUAUUACUAUAUGAUGGAGACAUCUCACAAAGGAAUGCAAAGCUAUAAUAAUUUUUUUUUUUACAUUAUUGUAAUGUGACAUGGCUGUUUAAUAUUUAACACUGUGCAAAAUAUAAGUGAAUAAUAUCUGUCUGGUUAUGUGGUAGAGUGAAUAAUAUAUACAGGUUGAGUUUCCCAUAUCAGUUAUUCUGAAAACAAAAAAUAUUCCAAAAAAUGUAGGUUUUUGAGUGCCAUGACAUAUGAUCUGAUAUCUGUUCCAUGGUGCUGUUUUGGAGACCUUUUCGGGCCCUCCUUCUCCGGUUCCCAUGCUUGCUCUUCUCCCCAGAACUGAGCUGCCACCUACUAUCUAGAUCCAGGAAGGCAAUUUUCUCCCAGCGGCCUUCAGGUACUGACCCUGCAGCCAUCUCCCGGUGGUCUCUGGAUACAGCGUUGACCCCGCAGCCAUCUCCCAGGUCCCGGGUCUUCCAACAACCUCCGUACAAGGCUAUUAACCAAACUGCACCAACAUACAUCUCUUCACUCAUCUCAAAAUAUCUCCCUACCCAACCUCUCCGCUCUGCACAAGAUUUGCGUCUCUCAUCCACACGUAUUACAUGUUUCCACUCAAAAGUACAGGACUUUAUCCGGGAUUCACCAACUCUGUGGAAUGCCCUCCCACACACAAUAAGACUCACCUCUAGUCUCCAAACCUUUAAAUGUUCCCUGAAAACUCACCUCUUCCGACAAGCCUAUCAAAUUCCAGACCCACCCACAUAACCUUCAAUGCUUCCCUAUCUAAUAAUAUCCUCUCUGUACAGUAAUAUUUUGUCUUUCUUUACCCUCACACCCUCCUGACCCUUGGCCAACAUUGCUGGGUGAUCAUAUCAUACAACCCAUUAAGAACCUACCUAACAAUCUGGUGGACCAUUAUGCAAUAGGUAGCAUCUAUCCUUGUAUCAAUGCCUAUUUUCCUAUAGAUUGUAAGCUUGCGAGCAGGGCCUUCCUACCUCUUGUCUGUCUGUUUUUAGCCCAGUGGUUCUACUACUGUUGUACUAAUUGUAAAGCACAACGGCAUAUGCUGCGCUAUAUAAGAAACUGCUAAUGAAUAAAUAAAUAAAUAAAAUAAACAGAACCUGA